AGAGUUUGAUCAUGGCUCAGGAUGAACGCUAGCGGCGUGCUAAUGCAUGCAAGUCGAACGGGAUCCUUUUGGAUUCUUCUGAUGGUGAGAGUGGCGAACGGGUGAGUAACACGUUGGUGACCUGCCCCAGAGAGGGGGAUAACUAUUGGAAACGAUAGCUAAUACCCCAGAUGUCAUUGUUGUUAGAGAGUAAUGACUAAAUGCUCCGGCGCUCUGGGAGGGGCCUGCGGCCCAUCAGCUAGUUGGUAGGGUAAUGGCCUACCAAGGCAAAGACGGGUAGGGGGCGUGAGAGCGUGACCCCCCACACUGGUACUGAUACACGGACCAGAUACCUACGGGUAGCAGCAGCAAGGAAUAUUGCCCAAUGGACGCAAGUCUGAGGCAGCAACGCCGCGUGGAGGAUGAAGGCCUUCGGGUUGUAAACUCCUUUUCUGGGGGAAGAGAAAGGACGGUACCCCAGGAAUAAGUCUCGGCUAACUACGUGCCAGCAGCCGCGGUAAAACGUAGGAGGCGAGCGUUAUCCGGAUUUACUGGGCGUAAAGCGCGUGCAGGCGGUUUUCUAAGUCGGACGUGAAAGCUCCCGGCUCAACUGGGAGAGGUCGUUCGAAACUAGGAAACUUGAGGAUGGUAGAGGAGAGUGGAAUUCCCGGUGUAGUGGUGAAAUGCGUAGAUAUCGGGAGGAACACCAGUGGCGAAGGCGGCUCUCUGGGCCAUUCCUGACGCUAAGACGCGAAAGCUAGGGGAGAGAACGGGAUUAGAAACCCCGGUAUUCCUAGCCGUAAACGAUGUCAACUAGGUGUAGGGGGUAUCCAACCCCUCUGUGCUGUAGCAAACGCGUUAAGUUGACCGCCUGGGGACUACGGCCGCAAGGCUAAAACUCAAAUGAAUUGACGG
rnacentral:rRNA from 1 species